rnacentral:rRNA from 1 species
UAAAACGUAGGAGGCGAGCGUUAUCCGGAUUUACUGGGCGUAAAGCGCGUGCAGGCGGUUUGGUAAGUUGGAUGUGAAAGCUCCCGGCUCAACUGGGAGAGGUCGUUCAAUACUGCCGAACUUGAGGAUGGUAGAGGAAGGUGGAAUUCCGGGUGUAGUGGUGAAAUGCGUAGAUAUCCGGAGGAACACCAGUGGCGAAAGCGGCCUUCUGGACCAUUUCUGACGCUCAGACGCGAAAGCUAGGGGAGCAAACGGG